rnacentral:rRNA from 1 species
GAUGAACGCUGGCGGCGUGCCUAAUACAUGCAAGUCGAGCGAACGGACGAGAAGCUUGCUUCUCUGAUGUUAGCGGCGGACGGGUGAGUAACACGUGGAUACCCUACCUAUAAGACUGGGAUAACUUCGGGAAACCGGAGCUAAUACCGGAUAAUAUUUUGAACCGCAUGGUUCAAAAGUGAAAGACGGUCUUGCUGUCACUUAUAGAUGGAUCCGCGCUGCAUUAGCUAGUUGGUAAGGUAACGGCUUACCAAGGCAACGAUGCAUAGCCGACCUGAGAGGGUGAUCGGCCACACUGGAACUGAGACACGGUCCAGACUCCUACGGGAGGCAGCAGUAGGGAAUCUUCCGCAAUGGGCGAAAGCCUGACGGAGCAACGCCGCGUGAGUGAUGAAGGUCUUCGGAUCGUAAAACUCUGUUAUUAGGGAAGAACAUAUGUGUAAGUAACUGUGCACAUCUUGACGGUACCUAAUCAGAAAGCCACGGCUAACUACGU